CAUUAUUGUGAGCCGGAAAGGGAGAUGGAAAAGAUCCGGUAGUAUGACACAAAACUGCGGAACUGGCCAGAUGGAUGGUGAGCUAUGAGACCAGGCCUAGAGCCAAGGAAGGAAUUCACCUGUUGGUGAUUAAGGACUGUUUACUUCUCCUACCCAGCCGGUAGGAGAAUCCUACAAAGGACUCUGCUCCUUCUUUGAUUGGACUUUCAUUUACCCAAGACGUGAAUCAAGCUCCGGAUACUCGCCUUGUUGGUGAGCCUGAUUGAUCCCCAUUCGGGGUGGAUGGACUAAGGGGGGGUGUGAGAUGAACUUUAACUUUGGGACCGAUUAAUUAAUUAGUUUUUUUUUUUAAUUGUUUAAAUCACUCAAGUUUUAUUACAAAAUAAUUACAAAGUAAAAAAAAAAA